rnacentral:tRNA from 1 species
GCCUGGGUGGCUCAGUCGGUUAAGCGUCCGACUUCAGCUCGGGUCACGAUCUUGCGGUUCGUGGGUUCGAGCCCCGCGUUGGGCU